GACGAACGCUGGCGGCGUGCCUAAUACAUGCAAGUCGAGCGCAGGAAACUGACGGAACUCUUCGGAGGGAAGGCAGUGGAAUGAGCGGCGGACGGGUGAGUAACACGUAAGGAACCUGCCUCAAGGAUUGGGAUAACUCCGAGAAAUCGGAGCUAAUACCGGAUAGUUCAACGGACCGCAUGGUCCGCUGAUGAAAGGCGCUUCGGCGUCACCUUGAGAUGGCCUUGCGGUGCAUUAGCUAGUUGGUGGGGUAACGGCCCACCAGGGCGACGAUGCAUAGCCGACCUGAGAGGGGGAUCGGCCACACUGGGACUGAGACACGGCCCAGACUCCUACGGGAGGCAGCAGUAGGGAAUCUUCCACAAUGGACGAAAGUCUGAUGGAGCAACGCCGCGUGAGUGAUGAAGGUUUUCGGAUCGUAAAACUCUGUUGUAAGGGAAGAACACGUACGAGAGGAAAUGCUCGUACCUUGACGGUACCUUACGAGAAAGCCACGGCUAACUACGUGCCAGCCGCCGCAGUAAAAC
rnacentral:rRNA from 1 species